AACUAUAUGCUGUAGUGGUUGUGUGCACCUUAAAGACUACAAUCUAUGUCAUCAGAAUUACUCUUUGCUGCAAUUUGAAAUCUGGAGAACUUGUUUGAGUUGUGGCCAUUAAGCUAAUCAGAUACCUAACGACCAAGUUCCAGGUUGUGGGGAUUAUGUGGACCUGGCGUCAAACACAGAUCAACUAAACAAGAAAGCUAGCCUCGUGCUCAGGUUGGGUCAGGCUAAGAACAUACUCGAGCCUAACCGGAUCAAAAAGAUAUUCAGGCAGAACCAGAUGCAACCUUAGAUUGGAUCGGAUGGAUCGAGAUGUUUUAUUGUAGAC
rnacentral:lncRNA from 1 species